rnacentral:lncRNA from 1 species
GAGAAUGGGUUGUUCCACUGCCUCCACUCUGAAAUUGAAUUAAACAUGCAAAGUCUUUUUCAUCUAAGUACAGAGAGACAAUGAGAAUGUGAAAACCUCAUUUGUUUAAAAAAGAAUAUAAGCUCACAAAUUUCAAACCACUAUUUGUCUCAUUGCAUUCUUGUCAGCAACCAAACAGAAAGAAGCAGCUUGCAUGCCUGGGACCAUCAAGUGGCAGAGCCACUCUUUGUCAUUUGGAUGAGUGGAGCUGACUGCAGGCUGUAGCUAUCAAAAGUGCCUAAUUUAAUAAUAUGAUAAUAUCCACUUGUCAAAUGGGGGUUUAUAUUUAUCCUAAGUAAAUUUACUCCAACCAAGCCUAUGAUCUUUUCUUGCUUUGGCACUGUUUACUUGGGAGGACUCGUAAACCAACAAUAAUAUAUUGAAGCAAAGCCAUCUAUAAACAUCACUGCCUGGACCAUCAGCCCAGCUGAAGCACAC